rnacentral:tRNA from 1 species
GGGUAUGGCUCAGUGGUAGAGCGUGUGCUUAGCGUGCACGAGAUCCUGGGUUCAGUCCCCAGGACUUCCA